UGGGGAAUAUUGCACAAUGGGCGCAAGCCUGAUGCAGCCAUGCCGCGUGUAUGAAGAAGGCCUUCGGGUUGUAAAGUACUUUCAGUCGGGAGGAAGGUGGUAAGGUUAAUAACCUUAUCAAUUGACGUUACCGACAGAAGAAGCACCGGCUAACUCCGUGCCAGCAGCCGCGGUAAUACGGAGGGUGCAAGCGUUAAUCGGAAUUACUGGGCGUAAAGCGCACGCAGGCGGUUGAUUGAGUCAGAUGUGAAAUCCCCGGGCUUAACCCGGGAAUUGCAUCUGAUACUGGUCAGCUAGAGUCUUGUAGAGGGGGGUAGAAUUCCAUGUGUAGCGGUGAAAUGCGUAGAGAUGUGGAGAAAUACCGGUGGCGAAGGCGGCCCCCUGGACAAAGACUGACGCUCAGGUGCGAGAGCGUGGGGAGCAAGCAGG
rnacentral:rRNA from 1 species